rnacentral:rRNA from 1 species
GGGACACGUGGUAUCCUGUCUGAAUAUGGGGGGACCAUCCUCCAAGGCUAAAUACUCCUGACUGACCGAUAGUGAACCAGUACCGUGAGGGAAAGGCGAAAAGAACCCCGGCGAGGGGAGUGAAAAAGAACCUGAAACCGUGUACGUACAAGCAGUGGGAGCACGCUUAGGCGUGUGACUGCGUACCUUUUGUAUAAUGGGUCAGCGACUUAUAUUCUGUAGCAAGGUUAACCGAAUAGGGGAGCCGAAGGGAAACCGAGUCUUAACUGGGCGUUAAGUUGCAGGGUAUAGACCCGAAACCCGGUGAUCUAGCCAUGGGCAGGUUGAAGGUUGGGUAACACUAACUGGAGGACCGAACCGACUAAUGUUGAAAAAUUAGCGGAUGACUUGUGGCUGGGGGUGAAAGGCCAAUCAAACCGGGAGAUAGCUGGUUCUCCCCGAAAGCUAUUUAGGUAGCGCCUCGUGAAUUCAUCUCCGGGGGUAGAGCACUGUUUCGGCAAGGGGGUCAUCCCGACUUACCAACCCGAUGCAAACUGCGAAUACCGGAGAAUGUUAUCACGGGAGACACACGGCGGGUGCUAACGUCCGUCGUGAAGAGGGAAACAACCCAGACCGCCAGCUAAGGUCCCAAAGUCAUGGUUAAGUGGGAAACGAUGUGGGAAGGCCCAGACAGCCAGGAUGUUGGCUUAGAAGCAGCCAUCAUUUAAAGAAAGCGUAAUAGCUCACUGGUCGAGUCGGCCUGCGCGGAAGAUGUAACGGGGCUAAACCAUGCACCGAAGCUGCGGCAGCGACACUAUGUGUUGUUGGGUAGGGGAGCGUUCUGUAAGCCUGUGAAGGUGUGCUGUGAGGCAUGCUGGAGGUAUCAGAAGUGCGAAUGCUGACAUAAGUAACGAUAAAGCGGGUGAAAAGCCCGCUCGCCGGAAGACCAAGGGUUCCUGUCCAACGUUAAUCGGGGCAGGGUGAGUCGACCCCUAAGGCGAGGCCGAAAGGCGUAGUCGAUGGGAAACAGGUUAAUAUUCCUGUACUUGGUGUUACUGCGAAGGGGGGACGGAGAAGGCUAUGUUGGCCGGGCGACGGUUGUCCCGGUUUAAGCGUGUAGGCUGGUUUUCCAGGCAAAUCCGGAAAAUCAAGGCUGAGGCGUGAUGACGAGGCACUACGGUGCUGAAGCAACAAAUGCCCUGCUUCCAGGAAAAGCCUCUAAGCAUCAGGUAACAUCAAAUCGUACCCCAAACCGACACAGGUGGUCAGGUAGAGAAUACCAAGGCGCUUGAGAGAACUCGGGUGAAGGAACUAGGCAAAAUGGUGCCGUAACUUCGGGAGAAGGCACGCUGAUAUGUAGGUGAAGUCCCUCGCGGAUGGAGCUGAAAUCAGUCGAAGAUACCAGCUGGCUGCAACUGUUUAUUAAAAACACAGCACUGUGCAAACAC